UGGGGAAUUUUCCGCAAUGGGCGAAAGCCUGACGGAGUGACGCCGCGUGUGGGACGAAGGCCUUCGGGUCGUAAACCACUGUCAGUGGGCAAGAAGGGUGUCGGCGCUAAUACCGCCGGCACUUGACGGUACCUGCAGAGGAAGCCCCGGCCAACUCUGUGCCAGCAGCCGCGGUAAGACAGAGGGGGCAAGCGUUGCUCGGAAUUACUGGGCGUAAAGGGCGCGUAGGCGGGAUGGCAAGUCGGUCGUGAAAUCCUUCGGCUCAACCGAAGAACGUCGAUCGAUACUGCUGUUCUUGAGGAUUGCAGAGGAGACUGGAAUUCCCGGUGUAGCGGUGAAAUGUGUAGAGAUCGGGAGGAACACCGGUGGCGAAGGCGGGUCUCUGGGCAAUUCCUGACGCUGAGGCGCGAAAGCGUGGGGAGCAAAC
rnacentral:rRNA from 1 species